rnacentral:misc_RNA from 1 species
AACGCAUCUUGCGCUCUCUGGUAUUCCGGGGAGCACACCUGUUCGAGUGUCAUUAAGACUCUCAAAUAAAGGUGGCUCUUGCAGCCAUCUCUGUUUGGACUUGGGCUUUGCUGCAUUAAUGUGGCUAGUCUUAAAUCUAUUAGCUGAUCCUUGUUGAGAUUUUGGUUCUACUCAGUGUGAUAAUUAUCUAGCAUUGAGGACAGUCUCAGAACUGGCCAUAGCUCUCUCUGGAUUGCUUCUAAAAGUGUCUUGGGGACAAUUGCUUAAUUUCUGACCUCGAAUCAGGUGGGACUACCCGCUGAACUUAA